rnacentral:lncRNA from 1 species
UUAUGGGUAAAGUACAAAAAACUACCUCAACUAUUAGUGUCACGACACUUUCAUACCUCAUCUUUUAAAAUUGACAAUGUCAUACCUCAUUUUACGAAUUUAUGCCAAUGUCAGACCUCCGUCAGUUUUUCUGUUACUUUCUAUUAAAUGCUGACGUGGCCAGAGACAAGACCCAAAACCUAACCUCUCUCCCUCCCUUCUCUCUCUCUCUCGCCU